rnacentral:pre_miRNA from 10 species
AUACCAGGCACAACAUAGCGCGGCUCUGGCACCCACGUAUUCGAUCUUGCGAGAGAUAAAGGACAUCUCAAGCUCGGGUUUAUGGGUGUUGGACCAAGCGGUAGAGCACCUGGAUGAAG